rnacentral:rRNA from 1 species
AGAGUUUGAUCCUGGCUCAGGAUGAACGCUGGCGGCGUGGAUAAGGCAUGCAAGUCGAGGGCCCCGCAAGGGGACCGGCAGACGAGGUAGUAACACGUAGGAACGAACCCCGUAGUCAGGAAUAACUCAUCGAAAGAUGGGCUAAUACUUGAUACACUCGCGAGAGGAAAGAUUUAUCGCUAUGGGAUCGGCCUGCGGAGUAUCAGCUAGAUGGCGGUGUAAAAGACCACCAUGGCUAUGACGCUUAGGGGAGGUGAGAGCCUGGCCCCCACCGAUGGGACUGCGACACGGCCCAUACACCUACGGGUGGCUGCAGUCGAGAAUCUUCCACAAUGGACGAAAGUCUGAUGGAGCGACGCCGCGUGACUGAUGAAGUCUUUCGGGAUGUAAAGGUCUUUUAUGAGGGAUGACAUAGCGACAGUACCUCAUGAAUAAGGGGCUGCUAAUCACGUGCCAGCCGCCGCGGUAAUAC